UGCCACAGGCAUCAAGGGGUCCGAAAGGCUCCCUGAUGUGCCUGACUGGGACUGAGUAAGUCUCAGGGGCCAAGGAAAGGUAAGGAGUAAAAUCCUUACUAAGUACUUGGAGGCCAGAAGGUAACAGGGGUAUUGGAAAAGCCCGGUACCUCUGUGAAAUCUGGUAAAACCCUGGGAUGAGAGGUCUCGGGAGGGUGCAAGGGAGAAGCUGAGUAGGGUCCGUUGAGCCUGUGGCA
rnacentral:sRNA from 21 species